UGGACCUGUGUGGACCUGUUUGGACCUGUGGUGACCUGUGGUGACCUGUGGUGACGUGGUUCAGUGCGUGAACCUUGCAGGCCUCCAAUGGCAGUGGAGCCUGCAGCAAUUUGGUUUCUCUUCGUGUUACCUUAGUGGCUCACAGCGUGACGCUGGUUUAAGUUGUUUCUUUACGUGAUUUCUUUGGAAUAAACUCUGGUCCUAAUUCCACAAGUCCCUUAGAGACCAUUUCUACCUGGGUUUUUCAAUAUUGUUACUCCCUUCAUCUCCCUAAACAUCUUCCGGCCCCAUAGAAGAAGACAAGAUGAGGACAGGGACUCUACAUCCAGGAUUACCACCGUGACAGAGGAUGUGUUUACUCCAGACAUGAUGUGAAGGAUGGAUGACCACUAGACCAGCUGGAGGGAGUUGGUAACCAUUGGACAGGCUGAAGGGAGUUGGUCUCCUUUCUGGCAGGACUCCUGACCCUGAUACUAACACUGACACCAGCCCAGGCCGUGUCCCUCCGUCCUGGCCCCCACAGAGGAAGUUGUUGUGUCAUUCCUCUUCGUCUUCUGUGCUGGUGGGUUCAGGAACUUCCUCACAUGCUCAAAGGGAGUUGUGAAACUCUCUUUGCCUCCGUGCUCCGAAAUCAAGAAAAAGUGCAAAGAGUGUGAAGUUUGUCACACUCAGUACACUCAGUCUGUUACUGUGUUCUUAAGGCUUGGUAUGCAUGUUUUUUUAUCCAUUAAAUAAUUCAAGGCAACAAUUACAA